rnacentral:lncRNA from 1 species
GUAAAUUUACUUUAGCAGAAGUCUGGGUAAGUAUAAAAGCUGAGGUUUUCCUUUUCAUCCAUGUCAAAGACAUUGGUUUCGUUUUGUUGUGUUUUUUAAGAUUUUUCUUCUUAUUUUAUGUGCAUAGGUGUUUGCCUGAACGUAUGUUUAUGUGAGGGUAUCAGAUCCUCUGGAACUGGAGUUACAGACAGUUGUGAGCUGCAGUGUAGGUGCUGGGAAUUGAACCUGGGUUCUCUGAAAGAGCGGUCAGUGCUCUUCACCACUGAGCCAUUUCUCCAGCCCCUUCAUAGACAUUCUUGAUCAAAAGUAAUUAUUCAUGAUUACAGGUGAGAAGCAAAGGUUAGCAAACUGUCAUCCCAUUGAAACAAAAGCUACCAAAUUUCUCAUUAACACAAGUGACAUAGGGCAUGGAUUAUCAUCUGGAGACUCUUUAGGUUUUGUGUUGCUAGUGUAUCCCAAGCUAGUAGCAUAUAACAUAUAGUAGGUGCCCACACAAUACUUGUGGUAUUUGUUAGUAAGCAAGUAUUUUCUUGAUGUCCUCAGCAGUUUUAUGAAGAUUGGGCACUAUUGUCACCAAUCAUUAGGCUUAAGAAGAAAAGUAGUUUGCCUGUAGUAAUUCAGCUAUCACAGAACUAGAACUUAAACUGUAUGUGGUUUCUCUUUUGUGGGGGAGAGGUAGGAGUUGAAACAGAGUCUGAUGUAGGCAAGUUGGCCUGAAUUUCACCAUACAGCUUGAGGGUGCUGUACCUCCAAAAAGCUGGGAUUGUAGGCAUGUACUGGUAUAUCCAGCUUUCAGAUCCAUGGUCUUCAUCCCUGCAGUAUAUAUCCAAAAGAAACCAGAGAAGUAUGAUAAAGUCCCACUUGUGUUUACCA